rnacentral:rRNA from 1 species
CCUACGGGAGGCAGCAGUGAGGAAUAUUGGUCAAUGGGCGCGAGCCUGAACCAGCCAAGUCGCGUGAGGGAAGACGGUCCUAUGGAUUGUAAACCUCUUUUGUCGGGGAGCAAAAGACGCCACGCGUGGCGUUCCGAGAGUACCCGAAGAAAAAGCAUCGGCUAACUCCGUGCCAGCAGCCGCGGUAAUACGGAGGAUGCGAGCGUUAUCCGGAUUUAUUGGGUUUAAAGGGUGCGCAGGCGGAAGGUCAAGUCGGCGGUAAAAGUGAGAGGCUCAACCUCUUCGAGCCGUUGAAACUGGUUUUCUUGAGUGAGCGAGAAGUAUGCGGAAUGCGUGGUGUAGCGGUGAAAUGCAUAGAUAUCACGCAGAACUCCGAUUGCGAAGGCAGCAUACCGGCGCUCAACUGACGCUGAUGCACGAAAGUGUGGGUAUCGAACAGGAUUAGAUACCCCUGUAGUC